rnacentral:rRNA from 1 species
GAUGAACGCUGGCGGCGUGCCUAAUACAUGCAAGUCGAACGCUGAAGGAGGAGCUUGCUCUUCUGGAUGAGUUGCGAACGGGUGAGUAACGCGUAGGUAACCUGCCUGGUAGCGGGGGAUAACUAUUGGAAACGAUAGCUAAUACCGCAUGACAACAGUUAUUGCAUGAUAACUGUUUAAAAGGGGCAACUGCUCCACUACCAGAUGGACCUGCGUUGUAUUAGCUAGUUGGUGAGGUAACGGCUCACCAAGGCGACGAUACAUAGCCGACCUGAGAGGGUGAUCGGCCACACUGGGACUGAGACACGGCCCAGACUCCUACGGGAGGCAGCAGUAGGGAAUCUUCGGCAAUGGACGGAAGUCUGACCGAGCAACGCCGCGUGAGUGAAGAAGGUUUUCGGAUCGUAAAGCUCUGUUGUAAGAGAAGAACGAGUGUGAGGGUGGAAAGUUCACACUGUGACGGUAUCUGACCAGAAAGGGACGGCUAACUACGUG